CAGCUAAGGUCCCAAAGUCAUGGUUAAGUGGGAAACGAUGUGGGAAGGCCCAGACAGCCAGGAUGUUGGCUUAGAAGCAGCCAUCAUUUAAAGAAAGCGUAAUAGCUCACUGGUCGAGUCGGCCUGCGCGGAAGAUGUAACGGGGCUAAACCAUGCACCGAAGCUGCGGCAGCGACGCUGAUGCGUUGUUGGGUAGGGGAGCGUUCUGUAAGCCUGCGAAGGUGACCUGUGAGGGUUGCUGGAGGUAUCAGAAGUGCGAAUGCUGACAUAAGUAACGAUAAAGCGGGUGAAAAGCCCGCUCGCCGGAAGACCAAGGGUUCCUGUCCAACGUUAAUCGGGGCAGGGUGAGUCGACCCCUAAGGCGAGGCCGAAAGGCGUAGUCGAUGGGAAACGGGUUAAUAUUCCCGUACUUGGU
rnacentral:rRNA from 1 species